rnacentral:rRNA from 1 species
GAGUUUGAUCCUGGCUCAGGAUGAACGCUGGCGGCGUGCUUAACACAUGCAAGUCGAACGGGGUCUUUUCGGAAACUGCCUUCGGGCAGCGGAAGAGAUGACCGAGUGGCGGACGGGUGAGUAACGCGUGGGUAACCUACCCUGCACAGGGGGAUAACAGUCGGAAACGAUUGCUAAUACCGCAUAAGCGCACGAGGAUGCCUGUCCUUGUGUGAAAAGAGUUAUCGGUGCAGGAUGGACCCGCGUCUGAUUAGAUAGUUGGUGAGAUAACAGCCCACCAAGUCGACGAUCAGUAGCCGAUCUGAGAGGAUGAGCGGCCACAUUGGGACUGAGACACGGCCCAAACUCCUACGGGAGGCAGCAGUGGGGAAUAUUGGACAAUGGGGGCAACCCUGAUCCAGCGACGCCGCGUGAGUGAAGAAGUAUUUCGGUAUGUAAAGCUCUAUCAGCAGGGAAGAUAAUGACG